rnacentral:rRNA from 2 species
CCUACGGGAGGCAGCAGUGGGGAAUCUUGCACAAUGGGCGAAAGCCUGAUGCAGCAACGCCGCGUGCGGGAAGAAGGCCCUCGGGUUGUAAACCGCUUUCAGAAGGAACGAAACUGACGGUACUUUCAGAAGAAGGUGCGGCCAACUACGUGCCAGCAGCCGCGGUAAU